AGAGUUUGAUCAUGGCUCAGAACGAACGCUGGCGGCGUGGAUAAGACAUGCAAGUCGAGCGCUGAUUACAGGGUAGCAAUAUUCUGUAGUCGGAGCGGCGCAAGGGUGCGUAACACGUGGGUMAUCUGCCGUGAAGUUUGGGAUAACUUGCUGAAAGGCGAGCUAAUACCGGAUGUGAAAAUCGGAAGGCAUCUUCUGAUUUUCAAAGCUGGGGACCGUAAGGCCUGGCGCUUCAWGAUGAGCCCGCGGCCUAUCAKCUAGUUGGUAAGGUAACGGCUUACCAMGGCUAARACGGGUAGSUGGUCUGAGAGGACGACCAGCCACACUGGAACUGAGACACGRUCYAGACACCUASGGGUGGCAGCAGUCKAGAAUUUUUCACAAUGGGCGCAAGCCUGAUGGAGCGACGCCGCGUGGGGGAUGAAUGGCUUCGGCCCGUAAACCCCUGUCAUUUGCGAUCAAAUGUUGUUAUKUAARAGAUGACAACUUGCUAGUAGCGAAAGAGGAAGGGACGGCUAACUCCGUGCCAGCAGYCGCGGUAAUACAAGGGCGA
rnacentral:rRNA from 1 species